AUUGCACGCUGGCGGCAGGCCUAACCCAUGCAAGUCGAACGAGUGGCGGACGGGUGAGUAAUGUAUGGGAAACUGCCUGAGGGAGGGGGAUAACUACUGGAAACGGUAGCUAAUACCGCAUACCAUCGGAUGUGCCCAGAGGGGAUUAGCUAGUAGGUGGGUUAAAGGCUCACCUAGUCGACGAUACCUAGCUGGUCUGAGAGGAUGACCAGCCACACUGGAACUGAGACACGGUCCAGACUCCGACGGGAUGCAGCAGUGGGGAAUAUUGCACAAUGGGCGCAAGCCUGAUGCAGCCAUGCCGCGUGUAUGAAGAAGGCCUUCGGGUUGUAAAGUACUUUCAGCGGGGAGGCGUUACCCGCAGAAGAAGCACCGGCUAACUCCGUGCCAGCCGCCGCGGUAAUUC
rnacentral:rRNA from 1 species